CUAGAAGAAUCUGAAUGCCUGAAAAGGAGCACUGCAUUCAAGAACACAAGGAGAACUUUCUUGCCCCAGGCCCUCCUGUGUUCGCUGUGUAGCAGCAAUGCAUGCAGACGGACCACACCGGCUUGCAUCUGCAGAGACUGGCUUGGGCCCGAGCACCUUGCCUAUUCCUCCGGGACACUGUGCAGAAGCGAACAAUUGACUACUUUGAGGAAGAAUGUCAUCAUUGAAAUACUGCGAACCAUAGCAAGUUUCAUCUUUUUUUCUUCUUUAUGGAAUGAGAAAUGACA